rnacentral:rRNA from 1 species
AUUGAACGCUGGCGGCAGGCCUAACACAUGCAAGUCAAGCGAGCGGCGGACGGGUGAGUAAUGUCUGGGAAACUGCCUGAUGGAGGGGGAUAACUACUGUAAACGGUAGCUAAUACCGCAUACCCUCAGAUGUGCCCAGAUGGGAUUAGCUAGUAGGUGGGGUAACGGCUCACCUAUGCGACGAUCCCUAGCUGGUCUGAGAUGAUGACCAGCCACACUGGAACUUAGACACGGACCAGACUCCUACGGGAGGCAGCAUGGGGGAAUAUUGCAAAAUGGGCGCAAGCCUGAUGCAGCCAUGCCGCGUGUGUGAAGAAGGCCUUCGGGUUGUAAAGCACUUUCAGCGGGGAGGCGUUACCAACAGAAUAAGCACCGGCUAACUUCGUGCCAGCAGCCGCGGUAAUUC